CACUAACAGUGAGAAGCCUCAGCACAGAGUUGCACAGAGAGACUGCCUCUGCAUUUGUGACACUGACAGCACAGACACCAUAACUCCAGCCAUGACAGGCUCUGCACACAGGGACCCAGGAAGUGAAGGGCACUGCAGACCAUACCUCUGACUGUGACAGACCCCGAACAUCCACAGAGACAGUAACAUCAGCAUUGACAGGCUCAGCAAACAGAGAAAUAGGGAGGAAUGGGCUCUGUCGACAUCAUAACACCAACAGACACAGGGACAAGUACUGCAAACAGUGACACAAACAGUACUAGCCUCUCCCAAUAAUACCAAGCUCUGCAAAUAAAACUAAACUCCACAGAAUGACAAACAGUGCCACGGUCUACAAAUGGUGACACAGGCAAUGACAAGCUUUGCAAACAGCUCCAAGCUCUGCAAAUAAUGACACACAGGGCCAAGCUCUGCAAACGCGUGUGAGGAGACAGAAGCACACAGAGGAGAAUUCACCUGCCAGGGCCAUAGAAAUCCUGCGCUGCUGUCCAGCACUGGGAUUCGUGUCUGCCCAACUCUCAGCAAACAGGCAUGAGGGCUGGAAGAGGAGAAAACACAACUGGCUAGGAGAAGG
rnacentral:lncRNA from 10 species